rnacentral:rRNA from 1 species
AGCGAACGUUUGCGGCGGGCCUAACACAUGCAAGUCGAACGCACUAGCAAUAGUGAGUGGCGCACGGGUGCGUAACACGUGGGUAAUCAACCCUUCAGCUUGGGAUAACGACUUGAAAGGGUCGCUAAUACCGGAUACGGCGCGGGAGGCUUCGGCUUCUCACGAGAAAGCCUCGCAAGGGGCACUGAAGGACGAGCCUGCGGCCCAUCAGCUAGUUGGUGAGGUAAGAGCUCACCAAGGCGAAGACGGGUAGCUGGUCUGAGAGGAUGAUCAGCCACACUGGAACUGAGACACGGUCCAGACUCCUACGGGAGGCAGCAGUGGGGAAUAUUGCGCAAUGGGCGAAAGCCUGUCGCAGCCACGCCGCGUGAGCGAUGAAGGCCUUCGGGUCGUAAAGCUCUGUGGGGAGAGACGAAGAAAGACCCGUGAAGAGCGGCCGUUGACGGGUAUCUCCUUAGCAAGCACCGGCUAACUCCGUGCCAGCAGCCGCU